rnacentral:lncRNA from 1 species
GCAGGACAAGCCAUGGCCCAUGGAAAUUAGUGUUUUCUGGGGCAGCAAAAAUCCUCUGGGAUUUAUUUCUGAAGUAUAGAAAUGUAAAAAGGAUGCUGGGGUUAGAGGCUGGAAGUCCAGAGCCCUAGUCUUCCAUCCACUUCUUCACACGUCCUGAUGCUGUUGCUAUUUCUUUACUUCUCUGAGCUUCAGUUUCUUUGUGUAUAAAAUGGGAAUAAUACUCACCCAACUCAUCUCAAAAGGGUUAGUUGUAGUACUUUUUAAACUAAUUAUCCAUGAGGAUGUGGGUUCGAUCCCCGGCCUGGCUCAGUGGGUUAGGGAUCUGACGUUGUCAUGAGCUGGGGUGUAGGUUAUAGAUGAGGCUCCAAUCCCAUGCUGCUGUGGCUACGGUGUAGGCCCGCAGCUGUAGCUCUGAUUUGACCCCAGCCUGGGAACUUCCAUAUGGUGCUGGUGUGGCCCUAAAAAAAAAAAAAAAGUGAUGCAUGUCACAUAAUACGAGCAGUAUAGAAGGGCCUAAGGUGAACAGCUCAACUCGCCUUCAAUCUCCCCAUCCCAAUGCCCCCAAUCCCACCCUCCUAAGACCCCCCCAUUCAUUUCUUACGUAUCUUAGAUACAUUCUGUGCUCAUGCAAGGGAACAUGCAGGCAAUAGGUUCUUUUUCUCUCCAAAUCAGAACAUACUGUACAUCUCAUCUGGCUUUUCCCCUUAGCAUUUUGAAGAUCCUUUUAUUUAGCAUAAAUAUACUCUUGUUUGCUUUUUAGGGCCACACCCGAGGCAUAUGGAGGUUCCAGGCUAGGAGUCGAAUCAGAGCUAUAGCUGCCAGCCUACACCACAGUCACAGCAACGUCAGAGCUGCCUCUGCAACCUACACCACAGCUCACAAUGCGCCACAACGGGAACUCCAAACACAAAUACACUUUUUAAUGGCUGAAUGAUACUCCAUGAUGUGAAAGUACCAUGACAUAUUUACCAAGCCCUCAGAGUUGGACAUUCAGGAUUCCUGUCCAUUUAAGGCCCUUCAGGCUGGCAGGUAGGAGAUUCAACAGUUGUCCCUGAUGUUGUGCUCUUGUGUGUUUUUUCCUUGCUGGAAUCCUGGGCCUCCAAAGUCAGAGCUUGUGGGAGCUGGACGCAGCCAGGCACAUCCGGCCUCAGGAUGGGAGGAGCAGUGGGAGACUUGUCGGCACCCUGGGUUGACGUCUCCUUGGGGCACAGGAAGCAGAGAAGGAAGUAGGUCUUGGGACAUCACUCAGGGUCUUUGCCUCUGUUGACCUCCUCAGCUGCUCGGCCUGUGUCUGGGUCCACGCAGGGAAGCUUGCUCUAUUAGAAUCACCCAGGGCACUACUAUAGUCUCAGAGCUGGACCGCACCCCAGGCCACUUAAACCAGAAUCUCUGGGAAUUGGCCCAGGACAUUUGAUCAUUAUUUCAGGUGAGUCUACUCUAUAUGAAAACUACAGCCCAGAAGCCUGAAGAUAAAAAUCACAUGGCAAACCUGAGGGCUUUGACUUUCUCCUUGUUUCAAUGCUAUGAAAGAGAUAGGACCAUCCCACAGCAUACAACCUGCAAUGCAUUCACCCAGCAUGCAUGCAAGGUGCCUACAUGGAGUGGUUCUUAUUCAUUCCUGGCUAAGUUUUUAUUUGGUCACCGUUUUGACUCUUCUUCAAAAUUGUUUAUGCAAAUUGGUAAGAAACUUCUAGCAGGCAAUUUGGUAACAUGUAUCAAGAGCCAUAAAACUGUUCAAAAUCCCUGGCCUACUUAUUCCACUUUUGGAAUCCAUGCUAAAGACAUAACAAAUAGGAGGAAAAGCUAUAUGCAUAAGAUGUUCAUUGCAGCAUUGUUUAUAUUAAUGGAAAACUGGAGACACCUAAAUGUCCGAUGACAUAGGUACAGGUAAGUAAACUAUGGUACAUCUAUUUGCUAGAAUAUUAAGUAGCCCUUAAAGUUAUGGCCAUGAAGACAAAGCAGUAACAUGGAAAAUGCUUGUGCCUUAAUGUUAAGUGAAUACACAGAAUACAAUGUGUGGCUACACUUCGAUCACAACUACCUGCAGAGAAAACUAAAUGUAAAUUUAAAAAUUAGAGGCAUUCCCACUGUGGCUCAGAGGAUUGAGAACCUGACCAGUAUCAUGAAGAUGAGGGUUCAAUCCUUGGCCUUGAUCAGUGGGUUAAGGAUCCCUCGUUGCCACAAGCUGUAGCAUAGGUCACAAAUGUGGCUCAGUUCUGGCAUUGCCAUGGCUCUGGUGUAGGCCAGGGGCUGCCACGUUGAUUCAACCCCUGGCCUAGGAACUUCAAUAUGCUGAAGGUGCUGCCCUAAAAAGAAAAAAAGAGGCAGUUUCUGUUGUGGCCCAGGGGAAACGAAUCUGACGAGUAUCCAUGAGAACACAGGUUUGAUCCCUGGCCCUGCUCAGUGGGUUAAGGAUCCGGUGUUGCCGUGAGCUGUGGUUUAGGUCACAGAUGAGGGUUGGAUCCCAUAUUGCUGUGGCUAUGGUGUAGGCCAGCAGCUGUAGCUGAUUCGACCCCUAGCUUGGGAACCUCCAUAUGUUGCAGGUGCAGCCUUAAAAAAAAAAAAAAAAAAAA